rnacentral:rRNA from 1 species
UACGUAGGGGGCAAGCGUUGUCCGGAAUCAUUGGGCGUAAAGCGCGUGUAGGCGGCCUUGUAAGUCCGUUCUGAAAGCCCGGGGCUCAACCCCGGGAGGCGGAUGGAUACUGCAAGGCUCGAGUACGGAAGAGGCGAGUGGAAUUCCCGGUGUAGCGGUGAAAUGCGUAGAUAUCGUAAGGAAGACCAGUGGCGAAGGCGAGUCUCUGGACAGUUACUGACGCUGAGGCACGAAGGCCAGGGGAGCAAACGGG